CAGCCGCCACGGUAAAACGAAGGGGGCUAGCGUCGUUCGGAUUUACUGGGCGUAAAGGGUGCGUAGGCGGACUGAUAAGUCAGGGGUGAAAUCCCAAGGCUCAACCUUGGAACUGCCUUUGAUACUGUUAGUCUUGAGUUCGAGAGAGGUGAGUGGAACUGCGAGUGUAGAGGUGAAAUUCGUAGAUAUUCGCAAGAACACCAGUGGCGAAGGCGGCUCACUGGCUCGAAACUGACGCUGAGGCACGAAAGCGUGGGGAGCAAACAGGAUUAGAUACCCGAGUAGUCCCUGUCUCUUAUAA
rnacentral:rRNA from 1 species